UUUUUUUUCAAUGAUCAAAAACAAAAACCAAUCAAUUGGAUUCAUCUCUUAUAUAUAAUACCAAUGAAUCAUGUACAUUUAUUGGAAAUACAAUUUUUUUGAUAACUCCAAAGCAACCAAAUUUAACCUCCUCUUCACUCCCGACUCUUUUGGAUUCCAACCCAACGGGCAUAAUCGACCCACAUCAAUGACCCUAAGAAAGUGUUGCCGGUUCGAACAGCAAAGCAAAUUGCACUCAGAAUAACUUUAUGUUGAUGCAGCAAUGGCUCUAGAAUUCUUUGUUCAAUAACUCCAGCAAGUAUUUGAUACCUUAGGUUGCUAGAUACUGCCAUAUAGACACCAUAGGCAAUACUGGUAGAUAAUAUAGGCACAUCCUCUGCUUCUGCAGCAAAAGAUUUAUCGAAAACCUUUCUUGCAUUGAUUAAUACGUUUGUUAUACCUACACCAACCAGAGAUGCACCGGUUCCAACUGCAAAUAGCUUUGAUCCAUUACGCAUUAUUGCACCUAUUCUCUGUAAAAAUGAAUAUGACGUUCCGGCCAAAGCCACCUGAAAUGCAUUAUCAGGACAGCCGUAGAAGAACUUAGCAAGAGGGCUAGCACUGACUGCAAUAGGUGGUCGAAGGGAAACAGUAGGAGCAGGAAGCCAUACAAGCAUAAAGUCUGCUAUUAUGGCCAUCACCACAUCAGCAAAAACAAAAUCCAGCUCCUUUGCAAAUUUCUCUCUCCGUUUUUCCAAUUCAGCUGCUGUCUUGGUAAAGAUCCCAACACCACACUCUAUUCCAACCUUAGUUAAGAACAGAUCAUCAGCAAGCAACCGUUCCUUAAAUCCACCAAAUUGAAGCAACCAUCUGAACACGGGAGACUUCUCAAGCUCAAAGUCCCUAUGCACAAUCGAUCCCGGAACUCUUCCCGCCUCAAUAGCUCCAGCCAAGUCCUUCGGCAAGCUCUCCAACGACCUCCCUACCUCCGCCAAUGCGAGAAUGGCUUCGGUCCGGUUGCGGUAUCCAGCAUCGCCGUCGUCAUCAUUUCUCCCAUCUCCUCCUCCUCCUCCUCCUCCUCCUCCACCACCACCACCCGAGCCUCCGGUUCCGCCACCAUUAGCGGAGGAAGAGACGAGAGUGGUGUGGAAUCGUUUACGAGAAGUUGACCAAGUGAGAGAGGGGGUAAAGACUUUAGAAGAAGAGGUGGAGAUGCGAGGAGUGAUGAUAGGAAAGCUCUUAUGGUAGUGGUGGUGGUUUGGAGAGUGAAAAGAGAGGGAGCGCGUUGAGAGGUUGCAGAAGGUGGCGACAGCCAUUACAGAGAGAUAGAGAGAGAGAGAGAGAGAGA
rnacentral:misc_RNA from 1 species